UAAUACAGAGGGUGCGAGCGUUAAUCGGAAUUACUGGGCGUAAAGCGCGCGUAGGCGGCUUUGCAAGUCGGAUGUGAAAUCCCCAGGCUUAACCUGGGAACUGCAUUCGAGACUGCAUUGCUAGAGUAUGGGAGAGGGAAGUGGAAUUUCAGGUGUAGCGGUGAAAUGCGUAGAUAUCUGAAGGAACAUCAGUGGCGAAAGCGACUUCCUGGACCAAUACUGACGCUCAUGUGCGAAAGCGUGGGGAGCAAACAGGAUUAGAUACCCUGGUAGUCCACGCCAUAAACGAUGACAACUGGAUGUCGGGAGGGUCUGCCUCUCGGUGUCGUAGCUAACGCGUUAAGUUGUCCGCCUGGGGAGUACGGCCGCAAGGUUG
rnacentral:rRNA from 1 species